UAUCUGAUGGUCUUCUGACGGAUGCGG
rnacentral:sRNA from 1 species